AUUGAACGCUGGCGGUAGGCUUAACACAUGCAAGUCGAGCGGAGCGAGGGUGCUUGCACCUUAGCUUAGCGGCGGACGGGUGAGUAAUGCUUAGGAAUCUGCCUAUUAGUGGGGGACAACAUUCCGAAAGGGAUGCUAAUACCGCAUACGCCCUACGGGGGAAAGCAGGGGAUCUUCGGACCUUGCGCUAAUAGAUGAGCCUAAGUCGGAUUAGCUAGUUGGUGGGGUAAAGGCCUACCAAGGCGACGAUCUGUAGCGGGUCUGAGAGGAUGAUCCGCCACACUGGGACUGAGACACGGCCCAGACUCCUACGGGAGGCAGCAGUGGGGAAUAUUGGACAAUGGGGGGAACCCUGAUCCAGCCAUGCCGCGUGUGUGAAGAAGGCCUUUUGGUUGUAAAGCACUUUAAGCGAGGAGGAGGCGCUCUAGGAUAAUACCCUAGAUGCGUGGACGUUACUCGCAGAAUAAGCACCGGCUAACUCUGCGCCAGCAGCCGCCGUAACAC
rnacentral:rRNA from 1 species